AGGUGCCUCACCUGGGUCAUAGCCGGUAGAAAAAGGAAAGCUUAUGAUAUCUCCUGGUUUGGCAUUAAGAGGCCAGGCUGGAAAUGGAAGGCAUCAUUUCCAUCAUAUUCUUCUGGAGAGAACUUAGUCACAUCUUCUUCACAGAAGACGGGGAAAGGUGGCCCAGCUGGUCAGCCCUGUGCCUGGCUGCCUUUCUGUUACUAUGGAAGGAGGGAAAAAGGAAAGCCAGCAGUGCAUGUCACCCUUACAUAAGCUCCCUCCAUCAGGAAACUUAAGACCAACUCCAUUUGAUCUGAUCAGAGGACUUCUAUAAGGACCAACACAGUGGCACAUUCAAAAGCAUCUUUCUCCCCCUCCAAUCAACCAGUCCUGGGGCCUUCUUACCUCUGAAAUAGAAUCCAUGAAACUGAAAAUGGUUCAACAAAUGGAGCCCCAAAUGAUCACCACUAGCACCUACUAUCGAGGACCCCUAGACUGACCCGUCAACCCAUUCUUGCACUACAACACUGAAGACUCCCCUCCCAAGGAAACCUCAAAUGCAGAGCCCCUUCUACAGAGCCCCAGUUCAGCAGGAAGUAGCUAGAAUGAUCGUCGCCCAACUUCCAAACAGCACUUGGGCUUUCCUGUUGAGAGAGGGGACUGAGGGACUAAGUGGCUAAGUUGGCUGGACUCCCUGGGUCAAUAGGGACUUCUCUAAGGGGACGUUCCCCAAGCCAAAAUAAAUCAUAGCUGCAAGAGCCAAAAUAAAUCAUAGCUGCAAGCAAAGGAAUUAAAACUUCAACCAAUCAAAGGGGACUUUCCCCUAAGCCAAAAUGAGUCAAAGCUGCAAGCUAAGGGAUUGAAAUUUCAACCAAUUAUAUAGGGAGUUUAAGCUUUAACUGCAGCCUGAUGUUUUUAACCAAUCAGGCCCGCCAACCCACAAGCGGAUAGAAAAUAAGCUAAUUCUAUAGGACAGAAAGACGAAAAGGGAGGGUUCAUAAGGGGAUAUAAGCAUAAGACACCCAAGCCACAAACAGCAUCCCUUCUGGGUCCCCUUCCACCGCGUGGAAGCUUUACUUUCACUUUCGCUUUAAUAAAUCUUGCCACUGCACC